rnacentral:misc_RNA from 1 species
UGAUGGAUGGGAGGCUUGGGA